rnacentral:rRNA from 1 species
AAUGAACGUUGGCGGCGUGGAUUAGGCAUGCAAGUCGUGCGAGAAGUGUUUUUUGCUUGCAUUGAACACGGACAGCGGCGAAAGGGAGAGUAACGCGUGGUUACGUGCCCAGAGGACCAGGAUAGCGUCGGGAAACUGGCGGUAAUACUGGAUAAUAUCUUUGGAUCAAAGGUGUGAUUCCGCCUCUGGAUCGGACCGCGUACUAUUAGCUUGUUGGCGGGGUAAUGGCCCACCAAGGCUGCGAUGGUUACCGGGUGUGAGAGCAUGGCCCGGCUCACUGGGACUGAGACACUGCCCAGACACCUACGGGUGGCUGCAGUCGAGAAUCUUCGGCAAUGGACGAAAGUCUGACCGAGCGACGCCGCGUGCGGGAUGAAGGCCCUCGGGUUGUAAACCGCUGUCAGUUGGGAGGAAAGGUCUGUGAAGAGCAGACCCUGACCGAUCUUCAGAGGAAGGACGGGCUAAGUUCGUGCCAGCCGCCGCCGUAACAC